UUUUUUUUUAUUUUCCCACUGUACAGCAAGGGGGUCAGGUUAUCCUUACAUGUAUACAUUACAAUUACAUUUUUCCCCCACCCUUUCUUCUGUUGCAACAUGAGUAUCUAGACAAAGUUCUCAAUGCUAUUCAGCAGGAUCUCCUUGUAAAUCUAUUCUUUUUUUUUUUUUUUUAAAUCUAUUCUAAGUUGUGUCUGAUAAGCCCAAGCUCCCGAUCCCUCCCACUCCCUCCCCCUCCCAUCAGGCAGCCAGCCACAAGUCUCUUCUCCAAGUCCAUGAUUUUCUUUUCUGAGGAGAUGUUCAUUUGUGCUAGAUAUUAGAUUCCAGUUAUAAGUGAUAUCAAAUGGUAUUUGUCUUUGUCUAGAAAGAUGAUUUUUAAGGACCUGAAUGGAUACAACUCUAUUGUGCCUCCAGUUCCUGGAACUUUGUGUUUUAGCUUGGUCUCUGUGGCUCUUGAAAUUUUUGCUGGUAAGGCCAACCCCACUUCACUCUUGAGGAGGAAAUUUGUACAUUUCCAAGGUUCAAAUGCUUUGUGAAUCAAGGAAGAUAAUGUUAUUAACUGACAUGUGUAAAAGAGGAGAAGCAGCCACUGAAGUAAAGAAGAUGUUAAGUUUGUUUGGGAGCCUGGUGAGUUGGAGACACUUGCAGGACAUUCAUGCUGAGCUUCCUGUGAGCACUGAGAAUGUCACAGGGCAAACGGAAAACUAGGACCUGUGUUCAAAUGAUCAACUAAGUUCAGUUCAGUAGAUCUGGAUUCAUUUGAUUAGAGGAUAAAGUUAAAGCUAUAACCUUGAGCAAAUUCAUCAGGGAAUAAGGUGAAGCAUUUAAAAAGAAGAAGGUUGUUUCAGUCAGGGUAGAGCCAGAUUAUGCUGCAGAACAAACAAUUCCCCAAAUCUCAGUGACUUAAUAUCUCAAGGUUUAUUUCUCAUCCAUGCUUUAUGUCAAAAGUUGACCAGGAAUUCUGUGCAAUGUUAUCUUGGUCUGGGAUUUGGACUGAUGAACCACCCCCCACCUGGAACAUUGCUGGUCUCUGUAGCAGGAGGAAAGAACAGUCUCAUACCAGCAAUGAAAUGCUAGCCCAGAAGUGACAGAUACUGCUCCUGCUCAUAAUUCAAAGGCCAGAACUCAUCACGAAGCCCUACCCAACCACAGAGUAGGCAGGACUUGUCAUCCAACCAUGUGUCUGCAAGAGAGAAGUGCUGACAUCAGGAGCUACAUAAAUGAGUACCCUGAGGCUGAAGACAGGCUUUGUAAAAACAUGUUAACUCCAGAGAGGCAAGUACUAAGAGUUGGCAUGGAAAGAAGACAGAGAGAACAGUAAGGCAAAGGAGAAGGACCAAGAAAGCAAGAGUCACAGAUGAUGGGGAGGAAGGAGAGAGAGUGAAGAAAGGAGCAAUACAUCAGUGUAGAAGUUUCUAACAGAAGAGUAUAGCAGGAAGAGGGGUUUAACAAGUUCAGCUGGGUCUCUCACCAGAGGCACUUCAAGAUGGCACUCACUUCCUUGAUGAAUUUCUGAGUCACAAUUUCUGUCCCUCGGCCUAACCCUAAUCCCACAUCUAACCUUAUUUACAAGGAUGCACACAUAAGGCUGCCUUAGCCUGUGGCCACCAAGCACUCGAAAUGUCUAAUCUCAAACUCCUUGUUCUGAUUUCAUUCUUACUAUGCAAACUUCUCCUUAUGAUUUGCCUUUCCUUGAAGAUCUAUAUUCAGUAAGAGAGUGUGUUAGUUAUAUUCAAGCAUUUUGGACCACAUGACAAUUCCACUGCUCAUUUGGAUUAAUUCAUUAAGUAAUUUUAAGCAAUUUCUUUUACGGAAAUGGAUUCAAAUCUCACUUUAAUUCAAACAGUCCUUUUAUUUAUUUAUUUAUUUAUUUAUUUAUUUAUUUAUUUAUUUAUUUUUUGUCUUUUUUUAGGGCCGCACCCAUGGCAUAUGGAGCGGCCCUAGAAAAGGCAAAAAGACAAAAAAAAAAAAACCUCAUGUUGAAGAGAGACAGAUGAAGGAGUAAAAAAAAUUCAAUAAAGGGAAAAGCUGGCUAAUAAGGGAUUAGGAAGGAAAGGAAAGAGGGAAGAGAGACUCAGAGAUUGCAAUUUCAGAAACCUACAGAGUUUGAUGACCUGUUAACUUUUGCUGAAUUUAAAAAAGGACUGCACCUGUUUACAGACUAUGAAGUUGGCAAUGUGGCAAUUUUAAGUUAAGGUUGUUGAUGCUGGGGUGAAAAUAUCAAAACUGAAUACAUACCCGAAGCCAAAUAUAUACUAGAUUUGUCUAUUUCUAGAAAUAAGCAACUUGGGAAUUGUUAAAUAAAUUACAACAGGACCAGAUUAUAUAUUAUUAUAUUAUGUAGAAUAUGCGUUAUAAUACAAAAAAUUAUAACAGGCUGUAAUAUGAAGGAAUAUAGUUUUGUCACCAAAACACGAUUGUUCAGGUUUUAAAUAGCACAGGGAAAAAGAUGGCCUCAACAGAAUGUUCAGUGGGAAAACAGCAGGGUUCCUAAAUGUGUGUGCAUUAUUAUACCCAGUUUGAAAAACAGAAAAGGCUGGAAGAACUCAAGAAUGAGUAUGGAAGUAGUGUGUGAUUAUGGCUGAUUUUUAUUUUAUUCUUUAUACUUUCCUAUAAUUUUCAAAUUUUCUAUAAUGAACUUAGAAUUCCUUUAGAUAAUGUAAAUGACUUGUAUAGAGAAGCAUGCUUCCAUUAGCAACUCAGUUUUUCAUUAUUUUUGUUAGUUAUAUUGGAAUUUAAAACUCAUUAGAUACAUUAAAUGUAACAUAUUUAAAUGCUCAGGGUAUAUGUGCUCCCGACUGCUUUUAAAAUGAAAUUGUAAUUAGAAGGGAUAAGAGAAUUGAGACUAGAAAAGCUCUCUAAGGGUAGUGGCAAAGGCGUGAAAUGCCCUAUUUCAAAUAUUGUAAAAUAUUUACCAUACUAAUGGUAAUCUUGUGGACAUAUUUCGUAGAAGGCAAUGCAUAUAAAUUAAGUCUUGACUUUAGAUUGUCUCCUAAAUUUUAGUACCAACAGAAAAUUUCCAAAUUUCAAACUGAGCUAAAAGUUUAUUUUUACAAUAUAUGAAAACAAGAUGAUAAGCAAACCAAUACUGAAAAUAAGAUUAUGGGGGGAAAAUUCUACCUGCCUAAGAGAAUAACCUGUAGUCAAACAGUGGAACCAUCCCUUACAUACUUACAAUAUCAUGUGUGAAUUAAAAAUUAAUACUCUUGAGUGUGGUUCUAAGCUUCACUUGGUGAUGAAGAAAUGUUGAAGAGUUUCCUUUCUUCUGAUGAAUUCGAAUCUUUCUGCAAAGACCAAGGCAAGAUCAUCUAAGAGUAAGGGGCCAGCAUGAAGUUCAGGGAUCAAGGAAGGUAGAAAGUCCUAAAGUAACUUUGUAGAGAAGAGGAGAACACACCCACCAGAAAAAAAAAAAAUGUAUAGCCAGGGCUUGAAGGCUAAGACCUAGCUGUGGAUUAAGAUUAUUUCAGAGAUAGAGUUGAAUAAUCUCAUUGAGUAAGAUGGGUUCCUAGGGUGCAAAGAGAAAAUGACUUUAUUCUUCACGUGCAAUGCCCAUUUGAAUACCCUCUUUGGGUUCAGCAUUUCCCUACCCUUUGAGUGAAAUACUAGAAAAGUCUUCUAGCUCUCUGAUCAUCUCAAAUAGCAAAAUGUCCUCUGGUCCUUUCAUCCCCAACUCACAGCCUUAGUUUAUAAAUAUGCCCAGAACUACUGUAAGAAAACUUCACGGCAAGCUUAGAUAUGCUAUCAAACGAAGGGCCUGCUGUGGGAAAGGAGGUUUUGUCUCUAUUUUCCCCAUUCAUGUUAGUUUCCUCCACCCCUCUCCAUUUCCACUGGGUCUUCCAGGACACAGCAGAGACUGAAGAAAGGCAAGGGAAAGGAAGGCCUUGUUUGACUGACACAAACAGAAGUUGGUGGAGCUUCCCUCUUGGUCUGGCUCAUGUUUUGGCAUUUGUUCUCUCAUUUGAGCAUCUGUGGCCUCCUUGGAUUCCCCCGAGCUGGGCCCUUCCAGUUGGAAUUCCUUCAUCUCAGGCAAUGCCUCGCCUCCAUCCAGCCACCUACAGUCCUCUCUGGAACUUCCAACCCCUUUCUGCCGAGGACACCUCACUGAUCGCAGGAAGUCCUUCAGGUCAGAAUUCCUUUGGAAACAGCCCAAACUCACAUUCCUUCCGUGGGUUUCACAGUUGAUCCCCGAGAAAAUUCACCUCUGGACUGGCAUAGGCCAGAAUGUGGCUAUUCCCUAAAUGCAGCCCUCUGCUCUACAGACACAGCUCACUUCAGUCAGCCUCUCAUUAGACUUUCUCCUCUAGGCAUGAAUCUAAUGCCUGUCUGGGUCCCACAGGCUUCAAAAGAUACCUGUCAAAGAUGCC
rnacentral:lncRNA from 1 species